rnacentral:rRNA from 1 species
UACGUAGGGCGCAAGCGUUGUCCGGAAUUAUUGGGCGUAAAGGGCGCGUAGGCGGCCCGGUAAGUCAAAGGUGAAAUCCCUCGGCUCAACUGAGGAACUGCCUUUGAAACUGUCGGGCUUGAGGCCGGGAGGGGGUAGCGGAAUUCCCAGUGUAGCGGUGAAAUGCGUAGAUAUUGGGAGGAACACCGGUGGCGAAGGCGGCUACCUGGACCGGUUCUGACGCUGAUGCGCGAAAGCGUGGGUAGCAAACAGG